UUUUUGUGGUGAAUUUUGAGGUGAUCAAACAAAACAUAUGGAGAGAAAGGGAUUCCACAUUUUGUACAAUAUAGUACUCUUCCAGGACUUUUUUUACAUGUUCUUUUGCUUGACUUUUGCUCAUAUAUUGAUAAUCCAUUAACUAGAUGCUUCAACCAAAUAUCAUCGUUGGCAACAUAAUAAUAUGGUUCAAAAUAGUACACCUCUCUGCCAUUAAUUGAAUCUUUUGAAUUAAAAUCUUGUGCCGGAUGUUGUAUGGUUUUUUUUUGGUCCCUAUUAUUUAAUAUAUGAAGUUGACAAUGUUCUAUAACCUUAUCAUAAGAAUAAAUUUGUGUAAAACAUAAUUUACAGAAAUAUAAAUCAUUAUCAACUAUAAUUUAUAUUAUCCUUUUGAAUAUUACUUAAAGGAUAAACUUCCUCUGUGGGUAGUUUUUCUAUUUUAGUAAAAAGUAUUUAUAUUACAUACUUUCAUUCAGUUCAUAUUUGUGAAAUGGUAAAUGUAAUUUGUGCACAAUUUCAGAAAACUUCAUGUUGCAUAUUGAACAUAUAAAAACUGGCUCUUCUCCACAUAUGUGAUUAUUUAAGGCAAAUCUGUU